GCCGACAUAGCUCAGUUGGUAGAGCUACUGAUUUGUAAUCAGUGGGUCGGGAGUUCGAGUCUCUCUGUCGGCA
rfam:Proteobacteria bacterium CAG:495 genomic scaffold, scf182